rnacentral:rRNA from 1 species
CCUACGGGAGGCUGCAGUGGGGAAUAUUGGACAAUGGGCGAAAGCCUGAUCCAGCCAUGCCGCGUGUGUGAAGAAGGCCUUCGGGUUGUAAAGCACUUUCAGUGGGGAAGAAAGCCUUGGGGCUAAUACCCUCGAGGAAGGACAUCACCCACAGAAGAAGCACCGGCUAACUCCGUGCCAGCAGCCGCGGUAAUACGGAGGGUGCGAGCGUUAAUCGGAAUUACUGGGCGUAAAGCGCGCGUAGGCGGUCUGAUAAGCCGGUUGUGAAAGCCCCGGGCUCAACCUGGGAACGGCAUCCGGAACUGUCAGGCUAGAGUGCAGGAGAGGACGGUAGAAUUCCCGGUGUAGCGGUGAAAUGCGUAGAGAUCGGGAGGAAUACCAGUGGCGAAGGCGGCCUUCUGGACUGACACUGACGCUGAGGUGCGAAAGCGUGGGUAGCAAACAGGAUUAGAUACCCGAGUAGUC